AAAAAGGGAAUUCAUGGCCAAAAAUGGUGGUGCUCUCUGUCCAAAAACUAAGGCCCUAUGACCGUGAAUGAAGCUGGAGGACAGGUAGGAACAGAUCAUUUGUUCCAGGAGAAGCCAGAUGCCAUGUCUUGAGGACAGUCAACCCUCUGGGGAGGUUCCUAUGGUAAGGAACCAAGGCUCCUGGCAAUAGCCUCUGAGUGAGCCACCUUGAGAAUGGAUUGUCCAGCCCCAGUCAAACUUUCAGAGAUGACUGUAGCCCCUGCCAAUGUCUUCACCACAACCUCAUGAGAUCACAAGCUACAACUACUCAGAACUUCACCUUUUGAGAAGCACCAGGGAGAGCUAGCUGCCUGUGCCUGGUGGAAGCUGCCCAUGCCCCACUGAUACCCCACAGUACUUCCUGUUCUGCUCAGUACUCCUGCUUCUUUCUGCAAACAACUGUGAUUCUCCACCUGGGAGCUUCCUCUGGCCACAGGAGCCUGCUCACCUGAAUGGGAUACCCCAGCAGUACUGGUGAGUUACAGCUUCCAGGAGCAGCUCUCCUCCAGCAAAGGAAAGGGUUGGCUAGUGUGUGGGACAAUGUUAAGACAUGCUCCACACAGUAAUGCAGGGGUCUCAGCAAGAUGGAGCCCCAAUUGUCCACAGUAGUAACUUGCCAGUAGAUGCCUGCAUUGACUUUCUUCCCUGCUGUGCCUUUCUUCCCACUCUCCUGCCAGUGCUUCCUGGAAUCAUCUCCCUCAUCAAUCAUUUGUUCCAAAAUUCUGUCUGAGUCUGUUUCUGAGGAAACCCAACCUGAGUCAUCAUCCCUCUUCCCCCCGUCACACUGUCUUCACUGGGGGAGGAUGGAUUGAGUUGACUGGCAAAUUUUAGAGAAGGAGUUUGCAUUGGAGUGCGUGACUCAGCUGAGGUUGGGUGUGUUUUCUCAGAGAUAAGUACAUUCAGAUUCAAUGUGUAUCCUGUCUUCAGGAAGCCCCAUGGUCUGUUCAUCUUAGCAUGAUUACUAAGCUACACUCUGUCCUUUCAAGGGGAAGGCCUGAGAUUUUCAGUUGGCAAGCUCAGUGAAAGCUGGAUGUUUUCUGUAACCUGAUUGUGGAUGUAGAUCAAUCCAUGCUUUUCAAUUCAGUCCUCUCUCUAAUAAACUGCUCGUAUGAACCC